ACAAAAGUUUACUUAUUUUACAAUAUCCAUCCCACUUUCAAAUACAUGUUUUCAUGAGCUCUUUAGUGAGUUAGUUUAGUGCUUUUCUGGCACUGACUUCGUAUUUACAGCCCACUAAACAUUAGACGUCUUAUGGACGUGCAGAUCAUGUCUAUAUUGCGUCGGUCGGUCCAAGACCAAUUCUGUACGUCUACACGACGUACAAACUAGGUCCACUAUUUGGACGUCUAACUAUGACCCCACUUGGACGUCAAUAUGCAGUUAAACAUUUGAACGUCGGACUAGGUCACUUUUUGGACGUCAUGGGGACGUCUAAUACAGGUGCAGGAAAUUAAGGUUAUUUAAGAAUAUAUUUAUUUUUAAAUGUAUGUCAACAUUGUUGUUAUCAAUAUUGUUAAUCACUAUGAAUAUAGAUUAUUUAUGAUUAAGCAUCAUUUAUUUCUAAUUAUUUAUUUGAGUAUUAUAUUUUUUAUCUAUUUAAUUAAUUAACGAAUGUAGGUAUUUAUUUACGUAUGUUUUUAUUUUUAUUUGGAAAUGCAAUUUAUGUGGAAAAUUGUUAAGUUGAUUUCAACCAGUCAAUGCCACUCUGAUUUGCUGAGACCGCACGUCAUCAUAAACUCCACUCUGAUAUGCCGAGGCAAAACACGCUCAACAUUUUUUGGCUGCUGCAGUAGCUCAGCUCAACUCAGCUCGUUCAGUUCAGCUCGCUCAGCUCAGCUCCGCUCCGGACUCAGCUGCCACUAAGCUAUAAGGUAAGACGAUAUGUAUAAGUUAAUGUAUUUGUAGUGUUAGUUGUUUUAGCUCUGUGGUCUUAAAUCAUCUGAACCUGCUGGCGUUGCCUCUCUUCCCAGGCAGUUAGCUAACUAGCUAGCUAGCUAACGAUAGCUAAAAAGUGGCCAUAGUUAAAAUGGAAUUGGAAUUACUUAUUGCCAAUAAUAUUUACUGUAACUGAAGCUUUAACGUAGAAGCAUUGUCCUGGCAUUAAGUCAAUGCACUAACCAGAGCUAGGCUGAUAAGCCAAUCUAAGCUAAAUCAAAGAACCGUCUUUGGCUAAAUUCGCUAAGCUAGCGUUAAGUUAUAUAAGUUUGUGGCGCCCACAAUUAACCUAGGCAACUGGGAGCAAUAUCAAGUGCUUUUUGAAUAGCGUGAAGAAGUAAGUUUAUGUUAAUAUUACAUAAAUAAGGCAAUUUAAAAUAGUUUGUUGUGGGAAAACAUUUAUUAAAAUAGCUUAAUAUCAUGUGUGAGAAUUAAAACGGCACGAUAAUUCUCGUCAGGUGUUAAAUGUGUAUUCCCGCCGUUAGCUUAGCGUUAGCUAAGCCAUAGUGUGAAGAAGUAAGUUUAUGUUAAUAUUACAUAAAUAAGGCAAUUUAAAAUAGUUUGUUGUGGGAAAAAAAUAUUAAAAUAGCUUAAUAUGAUGUGUGAGAAUUAAAACGGCAGGAUAAUUCUCGUCAGGUGUUAAAUGUGUAUUCCCGCCGUUAGCUUAGCGUUAGCUAGCUUAGCUGAGAUUUCUAAUUUGUCUUUUUCUACUUGUGCAGAUGGAGUCAUGAAAUGUGACGGGACAGCCACCGAGGACUUCAUACGGAUGUGUACUUCGGAGCAUCUCAAACAUGCACCACAAAGACGUGGAGGACACACCGCUGUCUCUCAGGACCUAGAAUCUUAAUGAAAGUAUAAUGAUGUUAAGGGAAGGUGUAAUGGAAAGGUGUAAUGUAAAGUUGUAAUGGUGUUAAGGGAAGGUGUAGUGGAAAGGUGUGAUAGUGUUGAGGGAAGGUGUAAUAGUGUUGAGGGAAGGGGUAAUGUUAAAGGUGUAAUAGUGUUAAGGGAAGGUAUAAUAUUGUUAAGGGAAGGUGUAAUGUUAAAGGUGUAAUAGUGUUGAUGGAAGGUAUAAUAUUGUUAAGGGAAGGUGUAAUCUUAAAGGUGUAAUAGUGUUGAGGGAAGGUGUAAUGUUAAAGGUGUAAUAGUGUUGAGGGAAGGUGUAAUGUAAAGGUGUAAUAGUGUUGAGGGAAGGUAUAAUGUAAAGGUGUAAUAGUGUUGAGGGAAGGUAUAAUAUUGUUAAGGGAAGGUGUAAUGUUAAAGGUGUAAUAGUGUUGAGGGAAGGUGUAAUGUAAAGGUGUAAUAUUGUUAAGGGAAGGUAUAAUAUUGUUAAGGGAAGGUGUAAUCUUAAAGGUGUAAUAGUGUUAAGGGAAGGUAUAAUAUUGUUAAGGGAAGGUGUAAUCUUAAAGGUGUAAUAGUUUUGAGGGAAGGUGUAUUGUUAAAGGUGUAAUAGUGUUGAGGGAAGGUGUAAUAGUGUUGAGGGAAGGUGUAAUGUUAAAGGUGUAAUAGUGUUGAGGGAAGGUAUAAUAUUGUUAAGGGAAGGUGUAAUGUAAAGCUGUAAUAGUUUUAAGGGAAGGUAAAUGUUUAGUGAAAUUGUUAUGGUGUGAAUCUAAGGUGUAUGUUAUGUUGAUGUAAAAUAAAGGCAUUAACCCCAAA